rnacentral:rRNA from 1 species
GACGAACGCUGGCGGCGUGCUUAACACAUGCAAGUCGAACGGAAAGGCCCUGCUUUUGUGGGGUGCUCGAGUGGCGAACGGGUGAGUAACACGUGAGUAACCUGCCCUUGACUUUGGGAUAACUUCAGGAAACUGGGGCUAAUACCGGAUAGGAGCUCCUGCUGCAUGGUGGGGGUUGGAAAGUUUCGGCGGUUGGGGAUGGACUCGCGGCUUAUCAGCUUGUUGGUGGGGUAGUGGCUUACCAAGGCUUUGACGGGUAGCCGGCCUGAGAGGGUGACCGGCCACAUUGGGCCUGAGCUGCGGCCCAGCCUCCUCCGGGAGGCAGCAGUGGGGAAUAGUGCACAAUGGGCGGAGCCCUGAUGCAGCAACGCCGCGUCCGGGAUGUCGGCCUUCGGGUUGUGAACCGCUUUCGCCUGUGCCGAAGCGUGAGUGACGGUAAUGGGUAAAGAAGCACCGGCUAACUACGUG